GGUCUCAUGGUGUAAUGGUCAGCACUUUGGACUUUGAAUCCAGCGAUCCGAGUUCAAAGUGAGACCAAGUGAGGUCUCGGUGAGACCU